UUGGUUAUGUGCUUUAAAAUAACGUUUAUAUAGUUGUUUCGCACAUAGGUGAGACCUAUCCUGAGGAUGAGCGCAGUCAAGCAAGGCUUGGGGGUUACGACCUUUCCACAUAUCAGUUUUAGGUGAUAGUGCUUAUUGGUGGCUUACGAGGAAUUCACGGCAGCUCUAACAGAUUAUCACCAAUGUAGGAUUACCUUUGGUGUUGUAUAAUUAGUAUUCGUCCUGCUGGACUGCACUUAGGCUAGUUAUGCUCUGAUUGUGAACUCACACUUAAUAUCGCACUUGCAUCUUAUCUUAUCUAGUUGGUUCGGCUUUUGUUUA